rnacentral:lncRNA from 1 species
CCUCCACAUCCGAAAUUACCUCAAGGUUUGGCCUAACCUACUGAAUCUUCUUAAUGCCGGCAAUUCCUUUGCCGGGAUAUCGUCGUUAACAUCCUGUUAUCUGUUUUCCCGGACUAGGGACUUGAUUGCUACGUUUUAGAAAGUUCUAGGGUGUUUUCUGUAAGAUUGCCAGAACUUUCUUUAUUUCAAAUCGAUGAACUUCUACAUUUCAUAGAUUUUCAUAGGAAGUUCAUAAAAAUGUAAAAUCAGUUUCGUUUGAAACCCUAAGUCAAAACCUAUAAGUUUUAAGUUGUGAUCUUGAGUGAAAUUGAUGUGUGGUUUAGGUCAAAUGUUAGGGAAUGAAUGUUUUGUUGUGCUUUAUAUUGUAUGCUUGUGUUAUAACUGAAAAGUAAGCCAUAGAAUAUAGAUCUUAAAUAGAAAUAUGUGAUGUUUCGUUAAACCUUUCAUAUGAGUGCUCAUAUCCCUGCCAUCAAGACAUUGUCCCCGUCUCGAUUGCUGCUUCUUUAGGUUCCUUGUCGUAUAAGGAUCCCCGUUAGUUCUUGUGUGUCUGCUACUUAGCCAAAACAUCUCUGCGGCUAUGCUUCAGCGUUGGCUAUCAUUUCAGCUGCUAAGCAUCCGCUUUCCUUGAGUCUAGGAUGUUUCUGUGUAAUAGCUGUCAGUCGAUACUUCUAUCAUCGAUCGAUUAGCUGAUAUGGUUGUUACCUUUCUAGUAUCGGCUACUACCGAUACAAUUCUUUUAAUCUGUUCUGUAUCGACUGCACAGAGUCGAUGUAUCGGAGAAACACACACGAUCUUAGGGUUUUUGCCAUCGGCCGACCCAAGCCGAUUUUGAUUGCUUUCCCAUACCGGUCAAACACGGCCAAUCGAUCCUUAGUUUCCCCAUCCUUAUCCACACACUUCUAUCAGUCGAUUUAUCGACUGAGAGGUCGGUUUUAUACCUAUCGAUCAUAUACCCUUAACCACACCCCAAUCGGCUGUACGUCACUCAAUAGUUGUGCUGACGUAAUCGAGUCGAUACAACCACACUUAGUUACCUAGAAUAACACUUAAGCACAUCUUAGUUAAGACCAUUACUUUAGGAAUCAUCCUUCUACCAAGGUAAUCGAUGCUUUCAUCGAUCAUCUAGGAACCCGAUGCACCUUUCCAUCGGCUAAACCCUCGUUGUUUCCAAUCGGCUCUGUUGUGAUCUUCAACGAGCAGCCGAUUCCAAUUAGUUGUCCACCUAAAGCUCUAUCUAAGUUUAGUUUUAGAUCUUUUUAGGUGUAAUGUGAAUAGUAUGUUAUAAGAGUGUUGGAUUGUAACUGUAUUGAGAAGUAAGGUAGUUUUAUGUGCGCACUUUGAAUGUAAUGUCGCAUUGCAUGUAGAUACGAUUAUUUCGGCAACGGUACCUACGAGAUCUCCCCGGAGUCUACGGAGGAUGUUCCUGAAGACCGAGUGAAUGUCACCAAGGGAUUAACUGAAGCCCCGAACCAAAGUUCGGAAGAUAUUGACAUUUCUGACUUCAGACCCACCAGUAAAGGCAAGCCCCGGACAUAUCACACUACUUUAUUUACACUGCAAUCUACGUCUAUUUAUCUACACUUAUGCAUUACGUCUAGGAGUUGUAAUGAAAACCCUAGAUGCAUUGAUACUAGGAACCAAUGUAUUGAACCUGAGUCCAUAUCGGCUAGAUGCUCUGCUAAAUAGGGCCGGUAAAAGUCGGGUGAUUUCCUAUCACUCGCGCGAUAUAAGAGUUGCUUGUUUACAUUUCUGCAACCACUAUAAGGAUGACGGACAGGGUCAUGUGUUGUAUCAUGACCUGAAGGUUUACCCUAUCUGUUUUGUUAAAAGUGGAUAAGGUCGUAGCAUGUGGUAGUGGUGGCUAAGCUUUUGAAAGUACUAGCCACAUACCGCGAAAUAUGGUAAGCGGUAAGCCUAGUACCCGAUUGGCCCGGCAAAUGGAACGCGUCUCCACCACUCGACUUUUAUUUUAUGUUUACACGCACCGACGUGUGGAAGUACGUUCUGCAUGGCAGACAGGAAUACGGGUUUUGUAGUCGCGCUACAGACGUAUGUCCUGCACGAGUGAUGUGCGUACAGUCCUGCAGUCGCUUGUGGUGGCCCCGAUCCAUAACCUGGAAUAUGAGGGAAACGGUUGCUUCGGAACACCCUGUUGGUAUUCCAAGCGUGUGUGUUAGGUUUACCUUGCAAGGUUAAAUUCGAUUCGAAUCGUUCGCCUCUCACGAAGAUUGAGACUGCUUAUCCCUUUUACCACAUCGAGUAAAAAGUGUAAUUGAUGAUGGAAUAAUCUUGAUGGAUGAUAAUCUAUAUCUUGCUUGUUUAGUAUAGGUGCUUACCUAGAAUGGCUAAUCCAGCUAGAAUCUGAAAGCUAAAACUUGAAAGUAGGUUAUACUCUUUGUUGCUUUUCAGCUAAAAAUAAACCCAGAACCCUUGAAAUGCCUUCAUGAGUCUAGUUAUAGACUAAAGUAUACCCAAUCCUGGAUAAGCCUUGCUGAGUAUUAGUAUACUCAGCCUUGCUAGUUUUAUAUUUUUCAGGUAAAGCCUUUGAAGAUCCUACUCUUCCCCUGUCUUGGCCCUGUGCUCUUCCAAAUGGUUGGUCCGUGGAAUGGGAUCCGUCUCCGGCCAACACUGAUGAUACCGAGUGAUGUCGUGCCUGGGCUUAGCAUGACAUCCAUCUUGAUGACGUGUCGUAAGUCAUCGCGUAUGUUUUCCGCUGCUAAAAACCAUAACUUUAACAGUUUGUAAUGUUUUCUCUAAAUUUGAAAACUCUUGUAAUGUAAUUCUCUGUGAUGUAAAAUAUGAUGGUGACUAUAUCUCUGGACUCACCUUCGUGUGAGGUAACCUUAUUUGAUCCUGUGUAUCGGUGGUUUAUCGGGGCGUUACCCGACAGCCCAAGGGAUUAUACCGUUUGAAGCACGUUGGUGCCCUCAGAAGUGGACUCGCGUACUUGAGCCGGUAUAAUUCAGGUUGGUUCUGCCACAGC